UACGGAGGGGGCUAGCGUUGUUCGGAAUUACUGGGCGUAAAGCGCACGUAGGCGGAUCAGUCAGUUAGAGGUGAAAGCCCAGGGCUCAACCCUGGAACUGCCUUUAAUACUGCUGGUCUGGAGUCCGAGAGAGGUGAGUGGAAUUCCGAGUGUAGAGGUGAAAUUCGUAGAUAUUCGGAGGAACACCAGUGGCGAAGGCGGCUCACUGGCUCGGUACUGACGCUGAGGUGCGAAAGCGUGGGGAGCAAACAAG
rnacentral:rRNA from 1 species